UACGUAGGGUGCAAGCGUUAAUCGGAAUUACUGGGCGUAAAGCGCGCGCAGGCGGUUUUGUAAGUCUGACGUGAAAGCCCCGGGCUUAACCUGGGAAUUGCGUUGGAGACUGCAAGGCUUGAAUCUGGCAGAGGGGGGUAGAAUUCCACGUGUAGCAGUGAAAUGCGUAGAGAUGUGGAGGAACACCGAUGGCGAAGGCAGCCCCCUGGGUCAAGAUUGACGCUCAUGCACGAAAGCGUGGGGAGCAAACAGG
rnacentral:rRNA from 1 species